ACUAAUUUUUCUGAAUUGCAGUAAGAAGUUACAGAGAAAAAAUUUACCGAUAUUCUUCCUCUAAAAAAUAAGAUUUUCUUCUCAUUUUUGCACUCAGUGAAUAUAUGAAACUGUAAAAGAUAAAUUUGCAUCACACCUAAAUCCGUGCAUUAGCCGUAUCAUCAUCGCCGCCGUGUGUGUGAAAUGAACACUAGAAAUCUGCUUUUAAUUAUCACUAUAGAAUUAUUGUAUUUGUGAUCAUUAAGUUUUACAAACAAAGCAGUAAACUGAUGUUGGUCUUAGUAUAGUGCAAAUAAAUAUAUAUAAUCGCAUUAAAAGGAAUAAACUGCUGUAGUAUAUCAGAUUAACAACUAGGACUGACGGACAUCUUUGAUGUAACAAUUUUCCACGGAUGUAACAGAACUAUCAAAUGUUAGUUUGGUUAACAUUUAUGUAAUUGUUGUUAAGCUUAAAAAUGUUUAUAUUUGUCUGGUAUUGAUAAAUUAAUAUGCGUUGAAUGGUCAAGAACUAUACAAUAUACGGAAGAGUUGAAUCCUUUGUUAUUUUUAAUCAUUUUGACUAAGACUUCUGUUAUGUGUGUUUGAGUGAAAGUUACUGCCAUCGAUGUGAAUGAGCAUUUCACGGAUUUUCUUGUAUUCCGCUAAUUUUUAAAAGUUUUUCAGAAAACGUGUGCUUGAUUAUAAGUGACUGUAUUUGCAUGAUUUCUUUUCUGCGCAGCUGCUAAUCCAAUUUGAACCCUGGUGAAAUAUAUGAUAAAACUUUUGUGAUGACAAAGGCAUUAAUACACCUAAUUUGAUAAAGAACAUAAAAAGUGGUCUGGCCCAUCAGCAUUCGUCCCACACACAAUUUGAGUUUGAUGCCACUCAGCUAAGCAUUCAGUUAUGGGAUACAAUGACGUCAGAAGUGGAAAGUGGAUAUUUGAAGUUCAACAAGGCUUUUAUCUUAAUAAGUAGG